AGCGCCCGCAGGACCCGGAUGAGAGUGCACGCUUGGGGGUCCCCGGGAAGUCGCGGCGCCUUCGGAGGUGGCGGAUGCGGUCGUGAGCCGGCGGGGGAGGUGCUGCUGCUGCCUCCACUGUACUCAGACCCAGGUAGCACAGGAUUGUCCAUCCGCCAGCAGCUCAGUGCAACGGUGUGAACUCAGCCUGUUUCAGAGCCUUCCUACCAUGGCUGGAGUGCAAUGGCACAAUCUCAGCUCACCACAACCUCCGCCUCCCAGGUUCAAGCAAUUCUUCUGCCUCAGCCUCCCGAGUAGCUGGAAUUACAGACCUAGGCUACUCUGAAGCAGGUGGCUGAGCCCUGGCCCUGGCCUGAUGCAGGACAGGUUGGCAGGGAGGCAGCAGAGCCAAAUUUUGUACAAAGGAGCUGGUGCUAGCAAGCUCAGGAAGAAGCCACAGCCGGAAGUUCACCUUGCCAGGACCUGGCUCAGCUGCAGACCUCCAAAAAGCUGGUGAACUCGGUGGCUGGCUGUGCUGAUGACGCUCUUGCUGGCCUGGUGGCCUGCAACCCCAACCUGCAGCUCCUGGAGGGCCACCGCGUGGCCCUCCGUUCUGACCUGGACAGCCUCAAGGGCCAGGUGGCACUGCUGUCGGGUGGG
rnacentral:sRNA from 1 species